UUCACUUGUCUCCCCGUCCUGCGGUAUUUGCUUUUUCCGUCUCGUCUCCCGUGAUUCCCAGAUCUUGUUCGUGUUCCUGGCGGUCAUCCAUUCUACUCGCCGGAUCCGUAUAGAUCAGAUGGAGAUCUACCAGCCGAUGCCAGUUUCCAGGCGUUGCAAGCAAUAUUUGCUUUUGUCGGCGCUUCCUGGAGAUCUACUUUCCAGGCGGGUGUUGUUCGCGUACGGGUUUGUUUGUAGGCUACCGUUGAAUCCUUUCUCUGUAAGGCUCUAGAGGUAUUGUAUUGUGAGCGAAGAAUCGAUGAUCUCGACGUAGAUCUUGCAGCGGACGAUUAACGGUUUUCUUGCCCUACAGUGGUUUAAUCGGUGCACGCAUCAGACAUGGUUGCGCUCGAAGAUUUGUGUUGUUCCUUUCUCUGUGUAUUUUACCAGAUGUUCGAUGAUGUAAUAUGAAUUAUCCGUCUGAAGCUGAGAGGAAUCUGUUUGUGCGGUGGAUUUUGAGAUUUUGGGAGGAGCGGGCUAUAGUGGUAUGUCAUAUAGCUGAAUGAUCUUUGUCAUGUGACCUUUGCCAUGACAGGUGCGCUUGCAUGGCAGGUCAAAAGAGUAUCUUAAUAAAAUUAGUCUUUUUUGGUUCAAGGGGAGACCGCACGGGAAUUUGCCCGGGGUCUCCUCUUUUUGGUGUGGUGUGUGCUCCUUUACGUUCGUUCCUUAUUUGCUAUCUCAUUCGCCUGCAUACCACAACUGACGCGAAGGAUACGUCGGCCGAUUUAACAAGGUAUAUAGUUAUAAUCCCUCUUACAAUUUAUUGGAUAUUUAUUUCUGACUCUUGAGGAGGUUUAGAAUUUUGUGUCUUUUAAACAACGAUCAUUUCUCUUUAUUGCAACAUAUUUCGUCUUGAAUCAAGCAAUUUUCCGUAUCCUGAGUACUGCUACCGGAUCCUCUUAGUUUUUAAGUAUUCAUUGAACGCCCUCUUUUCGAAGGUAAAUUAAUGUUAGUUUACAUCAUCUUUUAAACAAUGUCCAAUUGUACGCAUAUUGAACAUGAAAUUCCUCAGUGUUUGCUUUGUGAUCAUUCAUUUAGUUGCUCCGUUGCUUCAGUUUCGUCUUGGAGCGCAAGAUUAACAUUAAUUGUCGUUGCCAAGGUCCCUGAAUCUUAUGUUGCUUUUGCAUAUCCAAUUUGACGCCUGUUGAUUACCAUUGUUAUUGGUCUGACUCAACCAGAUUAUGCUUCGUAUGUACUCAACAAGAUUAUAGUUUGUAUUAUCCCGGCAAUCGAGCUUUGUAAUGCAGAUUCACUAAUAGACUGGAUUGAAAGUGCGGGAAGUCUCGAGCAUUCAUAUUCUUUUGGUUAUGAGCUUCCAUGUAUGCUCAGCGAGGGUAAUUUUUGUACAUAAUAAGCAAGCUUAAUAUGUCUCCUCAUUCUAUUCAGUUCUUACAUUUAUGGAGAGAUCACGCGUGAUUUCGUUUUUCCUUAUAUCGGUUUGCUGGUAUUGUUCUCAUUCCUGUUAAGUUCCUGGUCUUGCGUACACAGAUUUUGUAAUUUAUUGUACACAAGCUUUGUAAUUCAAUUUAUGUUGGGGACAUGAUUGAUGUUAUCCCAUGCACAACUGUGUUUCUUACAUUAUGUAGAUUGUGGUUUGUGGUAGCAUGCUUAGGAUUUCCUGCGCUGGCGAAGAAGGGUUUCCCGAGGAUGUUCGAUCUUUAGUGGUAAUUGCUGGCUGCAAUUAACUCAGUCUGGAUGUCAACCUCUAAUUCAUGCUAUUUAUGGUUGAAAGACAUCAUGGCGCUUAGUAGGUUAGGUGCCUUGCUUUUGGAAUUUUUUUUUCAAACUAAACUCUCUCUUUUUGAAUAUCUAAUGCAUGGAAUUUGGACCUG